GAAUUUCAUACAUUUGUACCGAAGACAGCAGGGGCCCAGCGGCUUAAUUUCCUGCCGAGGGAAUACGAUAGAAUGAGCCAGUGAAAUGGCUAUUGUAUUAUGCCUCCAUGUCUUACGGAUAUGGAGGCUUUUAUUUGCCCGG
rfam:Bacillus sp. FJAT-18017 genome.